UGCUCAGUCUGUUGGUCAUGUCCACUCUGG
rnacentral:piRNA from 2 species